rnacentral:rRNA from 1 species
CCUACGGGUGGCUGCGGUGGGGAAUAUUGGACAAUGGGGGGAACCCUGAUCCAGCCAUGCCGCGUGUGUGAAGAAGGCCCUCGGGUUGUAAAGCACUUUCAGUGAGGAAGAACGCCUGGUGGUUAAUACCCAUCAGGAAAGACAUCACUCACAGAAGAAGCACCGGCUAACUCCGUGCCAGCAGCCGCGGUAAUACGGAGGGUGCGAGCGUUAAUCGGAAUUACUGGGCGUAAAGCGCGCGUAGGUGGCUUGAUAAGCCGGUUGUGAAAGCCCCGGGCUCAACCUGGGAACGGCAUCCGGAACUGUCAAGCUAGAGUGCAGGAGAGGAAGGUAGAAUUCCCGGUGUAGCGGUGAAAUGCGUAGAGAUCGGGAGGAAUACCAGUGGCGAAGGCGGCCUUCUGGACUGACACUGACACUGAGGUGCGAAAGCGUGGGUAGCAAACAGGAUUAGAUACCCGGGUAGUC